rnacentral:rRNA from 1 species
AUCGAACGCUGGCGGCAUGCCUAACACAUGCAAGUCGAGCGGAGCGGCGGACGGGUACGUAAUGCCUAGGACUCGGCCUGGGAGUGGUGGAUGACGUCCACUAACGGACGCUAAUACCGCAUCCUAUCAGCUGAGCCUAGGUCGGAUUAGCUAGUUGUUGGGGUAAAGGCCCACCCAGGCGACGAUCCGUAACUGGUCUGAGAGGAUGAUCAGUCACACUGGAACUGAGACACGGUCCAGACUCCUACGGGAGGCAGCAGUGGGGAAUAUUGGACAAUGGGCGAAAGCCUGAUGCAGCCAUGCCGCGUGUAUGAAGAAGGUCUUCGGAUUGUAAAGCACUUUAAGUUGGGAGGCGUUACCAACAGAAUAAGCACCGGCUAACUUCGUGCCAGCAGCCGCGGUAAUAC